rnacentral:rRNA from 1 species
GAUGAACGCUGGCGGCGUGCCUAAUACAUGCAAGUCGAGCGAACAGACGAGGAGCUUGCUCCUCUGACGUUAGCGGCGGACGGGUGAGUAACACGUGGAUAACCUACCUAUAAGACUGGGAUAACUUCGGGAAACCGGAGCUAAUACCGGAUAAUAUAUUGAACCGCAUGGUUCAAUAGUGAAAGACGGUUUUGCUGUCACUUAUAGAUUGAUCCGCGCCGCAUUAGCUAGUUGGUAAGGUAACGGCUUACCAAGGCAACGAUGCGUAGCCGACCUGAGCGGGUGGUCGGCCACACUGGAACUGAGACACGGUCCAGACUCCUACGGGAGGCAGCAGUAGGGAAUCUUCCGCAAUGGGCGAAAGCCUGACGGAGCAACGCCGCGUGAGUGAUGAAGGUCUUCGGAUCGUAAAACUCUGUUAUUAGGGAAGAACAAAUGUGUAAGUAACUAUGCACGUCUUGACGGUACCUAAUCAGAAAGCCACGGCUAACUACGUG